ACGCUGGCGGCAGGCUUAACACAUGCAAGUCGAACGGUAACAGGGAUUAGCUUGCUAAUUUGCUGACGAGUGGCGGACGGGUGAGUAAUGCUUGGGAAUCUGGCUUAUGGAGGGGGAUAACUACGGGAAACUGUAGCUAAUACCGCGUAAAAUCUUCGGAUUAAAGGGUGGGACUUUCGAGCCACCUGCCAUAAGAUGAGCCCAAGUGGGAUUAGGUAGUUGGUUAGGUAAAGGCUGACCAAGCCGACGAUCUCUAGCUGGUCUGAGAGGAUGACCAGCCACACUGGAACUGAGACACGGUCCAGACUCCUACGGGAGGCAGCAGUGGGGAAUAUUGCACAAUGGGGGGAACCCUGAUGCAGCCAUGCCGCGUGAAUGAAGAGGGCCUUCGGGUUGUAAAGUUCUUUCGGUGACGAGGAAGGUUGAUAGGUUAAUAGCCUAUCAAAUUGACGUUAAUCACAGAAGAAGCACCGGCUAACUCCGUGCCAGCGGCCGCGGUAAUACGGGGGGUGCGAGCGUUAAUCGGAAUAACUGGGCGUAAAGGGCACGCAGGCGGUGACUUAAGUGAGAUGUGAAAGCCCCGAGCUUAACUUGGGAAUUGCAUUUCAUACUGGGUCGCUAGAGUACUUUAGGGAGGGGUAGAAUUCCACGUGUAGCGGUGAAAUGCGUAGAUAUGUGGAGGAAUACCGAAGGCGAAGGCAGCCCCUUGGGAAUGUACUGACGCUCAUGUGCGAAAGCGUGGGGAGCAAACAGGAUUAGAUACCCUGGUAGUCCACGCUGUAAACGAUGUCGAUUUGGGGAUUGGGCUUUGAGCUUGGUGCCCGUAGCUAACGUGAUAAAUCGACCGCCUGGGGAGUACGGCCGCAAGGUUAAAACUCAAAUGAAUUGACGGGGGCCCGCACAAGCGGUGGAGCAUGUGGUU
rnacentral:rRNA from 1 species